AUGCAAGUCGAGCGGGGGAAGGUAGCUUGCUACUGGACCUAGCGGCGGACGGGUGAGUAAUGCUUAGGAAUCUGCCUAUUAGUGGGGGACAACAUUUCGAAAGGGAUGCUAAUACCGCAUACGUCCUACGGGAGAAAGCAGGGGAUCUUCGGACCUUGCGCUAAUAGAUGAGCCUAAGUCGGAUUAGCUAGUUGGUGGGGUAAAGGCCUACCAAGGCGACGAUCUGUAGCGGGUCUGAGAGGAUGAUCCGCCACACUGGGACUGAGACACGGCCCAGACUCCUACGGGAGGCAGCAGUGGGGAAUAUUGGACAAUGGGGGGAACCCUGAUCCAGCCAUGCCGCGUGUGUGAAGAAGGCCUUAUGGUUGUAAAGCACUUUAAGCGAGGAGGAGGCUACUUUAGUUAAUACCUAGAGAUAGUGGACGUUACUCGCAGAAUAAGCACCGGCUAACUCUGUGCCAGCAGCCGCGGUAAUACAGAGGGUGCGAGCGUUAAUCGGAUUUACUGGGCGUAAAGCGUGCGUAGGCGGCUUAUUAAGUCGGAUGUGAAAUCCCCGAGCUUAACUUGGGAAUUGCAUUCGAUACUGGUGAGCUAGAGUAUGGGAGAGGAUGGUAGAAUUCCAGGUGUAGCGGUGAAAUGCGUAGAGAUCU
rnacentral:rRNA from 1 species